GGGGAAAAGACCCUUUCUGGAAUCUGGAGAAGGUGAAGAUGCUCCCAGAGUCAGGGAGCAUCGCUACUUUCUAGACAUUAGGACCUCAAGAGAGGCCGAUGGGUCUUGCCAGAGCUGGGGGUGGGACCCUCAUACCAAACUGCUACUUGCCUGUCUAGGCACUUGGUAGCCCUUCCGACGGCUUGUGGGGAUGCUCAAUGGUCCAGGGGCUUCGGCUGCAGUCGAGGGGCGCUCCUGCUGCUCUCUGUCUCAGCGCCGGGCUGGAUUGUGCAGUGGAGGGAGGGUAAACCAGCAUUUCCUCAUCACCCAGGGGCUUUGCUGGGCUUGGAUGGGACUGGAGGGGGGGGAUGGAAGGGAGGAGCCGGGACUCCGCUAACCUGAUUCACCAGGUUAGAAACCAUCCUUGCAAAAAUCCAAGCCGUCUCGCCGCAACCUCCUCCCACCCUCCCAGGGCACGGCUGGUCCUGAGUGGGAACCAGCCACCCGCCUCCAGCCUCGCACCCCCCCGGCUCCCCUCCUGCAUGCGAGAGCAGCCAGGCGGGGGGGGGAGGUGGGAUGCAACGGUGGGAAUCGCGCCUCCGGCUCCCAGGACCGGCGCCAGCAGCGAGGGCCGGCGGUGGGGCUGGAGAGCUGGGUCCUGCUAAGAGGAUGAAAACAUGGGCGUCAAGUUAUCCUGCCUGAAAGGCUUGAAGACGUGCGUGAGCAGCGGGAACGGCAGCGACAGGACCCCGGCGGCAUCCCCGGGCGAGAAGCACCUGCACGUGCCCUCCAUCAUCGUCACGCCGCCCACACCCACGGGGUCCAUGCUGUCCCGUGAGGCCCGGCGGGUGGGGGGGUCACUGCCCUGCAGCCAGUGCUGAGCGUAGGGGCAGGAUCUGGCCCCGCUCCCCUGGGAUGGAGCCACAGCCGCCGGGAUGCGAAUUGGUUCCAUCCAGCACCCCGGGAGCUCCCCGGGGAGACGCAGAGCACCCGCCCCACGGGUGGGUUUGGACACCAGUGACUGUUUUAUUCUUUUUUUCCUAAAAGCACCGGGGAGAGGGUGUCAUCGUGCGGCUCCUCCCCGGUGAAUAAACACCCUGGGGCUCUGCACCCCUUAGUUUGGCA